GUUUUUUAUUCAAAUGAAAGAAAGGAUAAGCGCAUUUACAAACAGAUGUUCUAAGACAUAUACUCGAUGCUGAACUUAAAAUUAGGUUAUUUUGUUUUAAUCUAUGAGGAUCUGGAGGGGGUGCUUCAUUUCUGUAUUCUUUAAUGUUUAGGCCGUUUUUUUCUAUUCUUUAUACUUUUUGUCUAUUAUUAUACCAUUCUUUAUAUUCAAGCACCUUAUUAUUCUCUAUUCUUUAUUUUUUUUCCAUUUUCUCUAUUAUUCAUAUUUAUAGCCGAUCAUUCUCUCAAUUCUGCAAAACCCCAUCAACAUCCUUCUCUUUCCGAUGGUAUGUUAUUUAUAGUUUUGACACUCUAACUUCACGGCCUAAGAGCAGUUUCAGAAGCUUAGUUCAAAUGGAGACAUGGUUCCCUGCUGCGGCC
rnacentral:lncRNA from 1 species